rnacentral:sRNA from 1 species
CCACAAUUUUGUUUUUUGUUGAAGAAUAUGGCAUCAGAUGGUUGUGACCCUCCUAUUCCACCUUCAGCAAAAUCAGAUAAGGAGAAGGGCAAGAAGAAAUCUUAUAUGGUCAAGUUGUUAAACCGUUUCAAUAACGUAAAUGCUUCAAGUAGUCAGCCAUCUACACCUACCUCUACCUCCACUGCUAGAUUUGUUCCACCACCAUUACAAGUUCCUGGUUUGACACCUACUCCACCAUCAAUUCCACCUUCGUUGGAAGUUCCUCCUUUCACACCUAGUUCACAACAAUUUGCUGCUGAUCAAUGGAGAUCACCCUCCCCCCAUGUUGGUUCUAACCCAACAACUCCCACAAAUAUGCCAUCACCAUCUCCUAUAGGGGAUAACCCUCCACGUUCAAGUUCAGCAGCCAAUGACUUUGAAGAUGUUUCCAACAAUCGUCCAAUCAUUACACCUAUUGGAGGAGGGUUUUAUCCAACAAAAACAGCAUCCAAAGCAAUCACAGCCACCAUCAAGGCACAGUUUGAUGAGCCAUGGCUGACAUGGGGACAAAUACCUCAGACACGAA